GUCCACGCCCGUAAACGAUGUCUACUUGGAGGUUGUGCCCUUGAGCCGUGGCUUUUCGGAGCUAACGCGUUAAGUAGACCGCCUGAGGAGUACGGUCGCAAGAUUAAAACUCAAAUGAAUUGACGGGGGCCCGCACAAGCGGUGGAGCAUGUGGUUUAAUUCGCUGCAACGGCGAAGAACCUUACCUACUCUUGACAUCCAGAGAACUUUCCAGAGAUGGGAUUGGUGCCUUCGGGAACUCUGAGACAGGUGCUGCAUGGCUGUCGUCAGCUCGUGUUGUGAAAUGUUGGGUUAAGUCCCGCAACGAGCGCAACCCUUAUCCUUGUUUGCCAGCGAGUAAUGUCGGGAACUCCAGGGAGACUGCCGGUGAUAAACCGGAGGAAGGUGGGGACGACGUCAAGUCAUCAUGGCCCUUACGAGUAGGGCUACACACGUGCUACAAUGGCGCAUACAGAGGGCGGCCAACUUGCGAGAGUGAGCGAAUCCCAAAAAGUGCGUCGUAGUCCGGAUUGGAGUCUGCAACUCGACUCCAUGAAGUCGGAAUCGCUAGUAAUCGUGGAUCAGAAUGCCACGGUGAAUACGUUCCCGGGCCUUGUACACACCGCCCGU
rnacentral:rRNA from 1 species